AGCGAACGCUGGCGGCAGGCUUAACACAUGCAAGUCGAGCGCCCGUGGCAACACGGGAGCGGCAGACGGGUGAGUAACACGUGGGAACGUGCCCUUCGGUUCGGAAUAACCCGGGGAAACCCGGACUAAUACCGGAUACGUCCGCAAGGAGAAAGAUUUAUCGCCGAAGGAUCGGCCCGCGUCCGAUUAGCUAGUUGGUGGGGUAAUGGCUCACCAAGGCGACGAUCGGUAGCUGGUCUGAGAGGAUGAUCAGCCACACUGGGACUGAGACACGGCCCAGACUCCUACGGGAGGCAGCAGUGGGGAAUAUUGGACAAUGGGCGCAAGCCUGAUCCAGCCAUGCCGCGUGGGUGAUGAAGGCCCUAGGGUUGUAAAGCCCUUUCGGCGGGGAAGAUAAUGACGGUACCCGCAGAAGAAGCCCCGGCCAACUUCGUGCCAGCCGCCGCCGUAACAC
rnacentral:rRNA from 1 species